rnacentral:lncRNA from 1 species
AAAAAAAAUGUGCAGAUCUAGAUAUAUGUAUAUAUAUAAAAAAAAAUGAAUUCAAAAAAAACAACGGCGUUGCUAGCGCAAAAUUGCGAUCAUCGCAACUGGGUCAGAUAACACAAAUGUCACGCCUCAUACACGUAUAUGUGAAAACGGCGUAUUGACACGAUCCGAUCCGAAAACAUAAUCAAAUAUAACAUAAAAUAGAAAUAUAUAUAUAUAUAUAUAUAUAAACUAUUACCAAACUGUGUGUACGAUAGUAUAGAUCAGCCACUCUCAGUUUCUCUUUUUU